rnacentral:rRNA from 1 species
UUGAAGAGUUUGAUCAUGGCUCAGAUUGAACGCUGGCGGCAGGCCUAACACAUGCAAGUCGAGCGGUAGCACAGAGAGCUUGCUCUCGGGUGACGAGCGGCGGACGGGUGAGUAAUGUCUGGGAAACUGCCUGAUGGAGGGGGAUAACUACUGGAAACGGUAGCUAAUACCGCAUAAUGUCGCAAGACCAAAGUGGGGGACCUUCGGGCCUCAUGCCAUCAGAUGUGCCCAGAUGGGAUUAGCUAGUAGGUGGGGUAACGGCUCACCUAGGCGACGAUCCCUAGCUGGUCUGAGAGGAUGACCAGCCACACUGGAACUGAGACACGGUCCAGACUCCUACGGGAGGCAGCAGUGGGGAAUAUUGCACAAUGGGCGCAAGCCUGAUGCAGCCAUGCCGCGUGUGUGAAGAAGGCCUUCGGGUUGUAAAGCACUUUCAGCGGGGAGGAAGGCGAUAAGGUUAAUAACCUCAUCGAUUGACGUUACCCGCAGAAGAAGCACCGGCUAACUCCGUGCCAGCAGCCGCGGUAAUACGGAGGGUGCAAGCGUUAAUCGGAAUUACUGGGCGUAAAGCGCACGCAGGCGGUCUGUCAAGUCGGAUGUGAAAUCCCCGGGCUCAACCUGGGAACUGCAUUCGAAACUGGCAGGCUAGAGUCUUGUAGAGGGGGGUAGAAUUCCAGGUGUAGCGGUGAAAUGCGUAGAGAUCUGGAGGAAUACCGGUGGCGAAGGCGGCCCCCUGGACAAAGACUGACGCUCAGGUGCGAAAGCGUGGGGAGCAAACAGGAUUAGAUACCCUGGUAGUCCACGCCGUAAACGAUGUCGAUUUGGAGGUUGUGCCCUUGAGGCGUGGCUUCCGGAGCUAACGCGUUAAAUCGACCGCCUGGGGAGUACGGCCGCAAGGUUAAAACUCAAAUGAAUUGACGGGGGCCCGCACAAGCGGUGGAGCAUGUGGUUUAAUUCGAUGCAACGCGAAGAACCUUACCUGGUCUUGACAUCCACAGAACUUAGCAGAGAUGCUUUGGUGCCUUCGGGAACUGUGAGACAGGUGCUGCAUGGCUGUCGUCAGCUCGUGUUGUGAAAUGUUGGGUUAAGUCCCGCAACGAGCGCAACCCUUAUCCUUUGUUGCCAGCGGUUCGGCCGGGAACUCAAAGGAGACUGCCAGUGAUAAACUGGAGGAAGGUGGGGAUGACGUCAAGUCAUCAUGGCCCUUACGACCAGGGCUACACACGUGCUACAAUGGCAUAUACAAAGAGAAGCGACCUCGCGAGAGCAAGCGGACCUCAUAAAGUAUGUCGUAGUCCGGAUUGGAGUCUGCAACUCGACUCCAUGAAGUCGGAAUCGCUAGUAAUCGUAGAUCAGAAUGCUACGGUGAAUACGUUCCCGGGCCUUGUACACACCGCCCGUCACACCAUGGGAGUGGGUUGCAAAAGAAGUAGGUAGCUUAACCUUCGGGAGGGCGCUUACCACUUUGUGAUUCAUGACUGGGGUGAAGUCGUAACAAGGUAACCGUAGGGGAACCUGCGGUUGGAUCACCUCCUU